UCGGGAAUCUUGCGCAACGGGCGAAAGCCUGACGCAGCAACGCCGCGUGGGGGAUGAAGGCUCUCGGGUUGUAAACCCCUUUCAGCAGGGACGAAUCAAGACGGUACCUGCAGAAGAAGCUCCGGCUAACUACGUGCCAGCAGCCGCGGUAACACGUAGGGGGCAAGCGUUGUCCGGAUUUAUUGGGCGUAAAGAGCUCGUAGGUGGCUGAGUAAGUCGGAUGUUAAAUCCCCAGGCUCAACCUGGGACACCACCCGAUACUGCUCUGGCUAGAGUCCGGUAGGGGAGCGUGGAAUUCCUGGUGUAGCGGUGAAAUGCGCAGAUAUCGGGAGGAACACCAGCGGCGAAGGCGGCGCUCUGGGCCGGUACUGACACUGAGGAGCGAAAGCGUGGGUAGCAAAC
rnacentral:rRNA from 1 species